CGUUCUAUGGCCGAAUUGGUAAAGGCAUCGCCGAUCACAGGCGAGGUAGCAGGUUCGAGUCCCGCUGUAACGG
rfam:Operophtera brumata OBRT01_Sc02449, whole genome shotgun sequence.